UCAAGUUUGAGUUUAGUUUGUAGCUUUAACUAUCCCAAAACAGGACUGUUCUGACAUCUGAAAGUGAUCAAAGUCUUGAGAUCUGUCUGGCGAAAUCACCAAAGAGCAAGAAAGGAGGUGCAGAGAGAGCCCAUUUGAAGAACUACUUGGAGUUUCCUACGUGGCGGCGACACUUCCCGAAUGCUGACGCUCUGCCCCUCUUCGAAGGCCUGCUUUUAUUUUUCCUGUCCAGGUCAUCUCUGCAAGUCAUUAAAGUUAAAGGUUCCGACUGUGCUAUUCUAGAAAAGACAAGAACAACAGACUCCUUAAGGCUAGCCCAGGCAUGUUCUCAUGGCACGGUGGAGAGACACUACAGAGGAAGUGGAAUCAUGCAGGCUAUUCAACCUUCUAAGUGUGAGAUGUUGCUAACUACCAUCCCGUUGGCCAAAGAAAUAGCCUUGGACUAUAGAGACAGUGGCUCCCUGUGGAGCAGAGGGCAGAGAGCAGGUGUCGUCCUCCAGAGCAGAAGUCAGGCAGGUUUGCUUACUGCCCAUCAUGAAAUAUUCAAAUUCCCUGAGUUCCAGAUUUCUCCGUGGUGACACAAAGCCACCGUAUGUGCAACAUUCAUCUGUGUCCUUCAGCAUUGCCCCUAUGUGACUUGGGGGGCAAAGGGCACCACUGCAGAUAUGAAAUUCAUGCUGCUUGCUAUGCCGUGAACAAU
rnacentral:lncRNA from 1 species